GCAUGGAAUCUGUGGUUUGAAAAUCAAGGAUUAGAGUUGAUGGAUCCGUUACUUGUAAACUCAUGCGUGGAAGCUGAGGUACUGAAAUGCAUCCAAAUUGGGUUGUUGUGUGUGCAAGAUGACCCAGCAGACAGACCAACUAUGUCUUCGGUUGUUUUAAUGUUAGGAAAUGAUACCAUGACACUUCCUCAGCCCACAAAACAUACAUUUUCUGUUAAAACAGUUGUCGAAAGUAAGGAAUCAUCAUCAAAUUAUGAAGCUUUUUCUGUCAAUGAGAUGACUGUUUCAGAUAUGUUACCGCGGUGAAUUGUCGUGUAUUUCUUGUAAUCUAG
rnacentral:misc_RNA from 1 species